rnacentral:rRNA from 1 species
AACGAACGCUGGCGGCAUGCCUAACACAUGCAAGUCGAACGAACCCUUCGGGGUUAGUGGCGCACGGGUGCGUAACGCGUGGGAAUCUGCCCUUGGCUUCGGAAUAACAGUUAGAAAUGACUGCUAAUACCGGAUGAUGUCUUCGGACCAAAGAUUUAUCGGCCAGGGAUGAGCCCGCGUAGGAUUAGGUAGUUGGUGGGGUAAAGGCCUACCAAGCCGACGAUCCUUAGCUGGUCUGAGAGGAUGAUCAGCCACACUGGGACUGAGACACGGCCCAGACUCCUACGGGAGGCAGCAGUGGGGAAUAUUGGACAAUGGGCGCAAGCCUGAUCCAGCAAUGCCGCGUGAGUGAUGAAGGCCUUAGGGUCGUAAAGCUCUUUUACCCGGGAUGAUAAUGACAGUACCGGGAGAAUAAGCUCCGGCUAACUCCGUGCCAGCCGCCGCCGUAA